GAUGAACCGAGCGAACGUUGUUCGGAAUCACUGGGCUUAAAGGGCGCGUAGGCGGGCAUUCAAGUCCGGGGUGAAAUCCUCCAGCUCAACUGGAGAACUGCCUCGGAUACUGGGUGUCUCGAGGGUGGUAGGGGUAUGCGGAACUAUCGGUGGAGCGGUGAAAUGCGUUGAUACCGAUAGGAACUCCGGUGGCGAAGGCGGCAUACUGGACUACAUCUGACGCUGAGGCGCGAAAGCCAGGGGAGCGAACGGG
rnacentral:rRNA from 1 species